GACGAACGCUGGCGGCGUGCUUAACACAUGCAAGUCGAACGGUGAAGCCCCAGCUUGCUGGAGUGGACCAGUGGCGAACGGGUGAGUAACACGUGAGCAACCUGCCCCUGACUCUGGAAUAAGCGCGGGAAACGGCGUCUAAUACUGGAUACGAGAAGGGUCCGCAUGGGCACUUUCUGGAAAGUUUUUCGGUUGGGGAUGGGCUCGCGGCCUAUCAGCUUGUUGGUGGGGUAAUGGCUCACCAAGGCGACGACGGGUAGCCGGCCUGAGAGGGCGACCGGCCACACUGGGACUGAGACACGGCCCAGACUCCUACGGGAGGCAGCAGUGGGGAAUAUUGCACAAUGGGCGAAAGCCUGAUGCAGCGACGCCGCGUGGGGGAUGACGGCCUUCGGGUUGUAAACCUCUUUCAGCAGGGAAGAAGCGAAAGUGACGGUACCUGCAGAAGAAGCACCGGCUAACUACGUG
rnacentral:rRNA from 1 species